rnacentral:rRNA from 1 species
UACGUAGGGUGCAAGCGUUGUCCGGAAUUAUUGGGCGUAAAGAGCUCGUAGGCGGUUUGUCGCGUCGAAUGUGAAAACCCGGGGCUCAACCCCGGGCCUGCAUUCGAUACGGGCAGACUAGAGUUCGGUAGGGGAGUCUGGAAUUCCUGGUGUAGCGGUGAAAUGCGUAGAUAUCAAGAGGAACACCUGAGGUGAAGACGGGUUGCUGGGCCGACACUGACGCUGAUAGCGCGAAAGCCAGGGGAGCAAACGGG